AGGGUCUGUCCUCCCAGAUGAGGAUUGAAGCUGGUUUAAGUCUCUGCGGAGCUGGUGAAGGUAUUUACAGAGCUGGUGAAGGUAGUUACAGAGCUGGUGAAGAUAUUUACAGAGCUGGUGAAGAUAUUUACAGAGCUGGUGAAGAUAUUUACAGAGCUGGUAAAGGUAUUUACAGAGCUGGUGAAGGUAUUUACAGAGCUGGUGAAGUCUCAACAUGGCCCGGCUGUUCCUGUUGGUUCUGACAUUAUCUGUUAUAUCAGCUGUAAGAGGAGAAGUGGUUGACAACUUCAACCAGUGCAAGCAGUUCUUCUUUAAUGAAAGACCAGUUCAGGGUCUUGAUAUAGCUUUGCCCACCCCCGAACCACUUUCCCUAGAAGAUCUGUAUCUCGAAAAAAGACGAGAGGUGUAUGUAGAGUUGUACAAAAAGAUGUAUAACAAAGUUAAACUUCAGAAGGAAUUUAAGGAGGUUCAGUUAGUAUUAGAGCCACUUAAGAUAGCUAUAGAUGAGGUUAAUCCAGAGUUGAACUUUAUUCAAUCUCAAUCAGAGAAGGCUAAAUCAGAAUUACAGAAACAUCCAGAAAUAUUUCAGAAACUUAAACCAGCAUUUGAUAGUAUUACUAAGGAGUUAGAGGACAUUACGAAAUCUAAAACGUCUGUUGAAAAUGAUGAACAACUUUUACAGAAUAUUAAGGAUGACCUUGAAGUUAGGAAAGUCUGUCACUCUGCUUAUUUGACUGGUAGUCCGGCACAUAUCUGUCAGAAAAAAGGAAACCUCUAUCACUUUGCCACUAUGUACGACCGAGGAAGAAGGAUCCCUCUCUACUCCGCCUACAAAAUGGACCGGAGUGGGAAAACUAAGAGGGAAGGGGAUGUAAUUUACUAUGAACCCCAGCUUGUGCAUGCUGGUCUAGAAUCUGAGCAGAACGAUGUCAAGAAAGUUAAAGGCUCAUUAAAAAAAUACAACAAGGACAAUGAAUGCAACGAGAAGUACCCUGCUUACAAACAAACAGACAAACUUCGCUGGAGCCAAGCAACCGAUGAUGACUUUGCUUCCUUCGACCGAGGACACCUGAACCCUGCUGGUCACCACGCUGAAGGAGAGGGUUCUAAAGCUACCAUGACCUUUACCAACGUGGCACCACAGAAUGAGAAAAUGAACAAAGAGGCCUGGAGCAAAUAUGAAACCAAGCUGAGGAUAAAAUAUGGAGGUGAAUUUACAGCAGGAGAUGAGAAGGACAGGAAUACUGAAAACAUUGAAAAACAAAAGUGUGAUAAUUUGUAUGUAGUGACGGGGGUUGUUCCAACAAAAAAAUUCCAGUUUGGGAGAGUUAAUGUUCCUAGUCACUACUGGAGUGCCCACUGCUGUACUGAGAUCAAUAAUGGUAAGGAGGUUCCUGUCCUGUCUGGAGGGGCUCUGUGUCCUAACACAGAUGAUGGAAAGGUUGAAGAGUUUGACAGAAUUACAGAUCUUGAAGAAAGGCUUAAAGAAUUAAUUCAAGAGCAACUACAGAUACACCUGACUAAUCCCAUCAGCAUUUUUGACAACUGUGCCUCAACUUCAAUAAUUUAAUUUCUGUUCACUUCCUUGAUCCCAUUUCAAUGGGAUUCCAUUUGGUAGAUCAGGCUUGGCAUCUAGCAUAUAUAUACACAUAUACAGCUCCAGAAAAAAAUAAGAGACCACUGCACCUUUUU